AAAUGGAGCAUUUAGAAGCUCAGCUGCUUACCUUCCAAGUCAGCAACGGUCUUUAAUUUUCUGGGGGUACUGCAGUGAGGAGCAGAUCAGCGGAUCAAAUCUCACCAGCUCAAGGUUGACUCAGUCUUCCAUCCUUCUGAGGGAGAAAUCACUGGUGAGUCUGGGCCAUUGGCUUCUCAGUUUCCCCAGCAAGCAAUGUGUUGACUGAACUAAGAGAACAGUUUUACUUCUUCAAACCAGUG